UNUAAAAUGGCCAGGUGUGAGCAGUGCUCU
rnacentral:piRNA from 1 species